rnacentral:rRNA from 1 species
CAGCCGCCACGGUAAUACGGAGGGUGCAAGCGUUAAUCGGAAUUACUGGGCGUAAAGCGUGCGUAGGCGGCUUUUUAAGUCGGAUGUGAAAUCCCUGAGCUUAACUUAGGAAUUGCAUUCGAUACUGGGAAGCUAGAGUAUGGGAGAGGAUGGUAGAAUUCCAGGUGUAGCGGUGAAAUGCGUAGAGAUCUGGAGGAAUACCGAUGGCGAAGGCAGCCAUCUGGCCUAAUACUGACGCUGAGGUACGAAAGCAUGGGGAGCAAACAGGAUUAGAUACCCCGGUAGUCCCUGUCUCUUAUAC